rnacentral:rRNA from 1 species
GACGAACGCUGGCGGCGUGCUUAACACAUGCAAGUCGAACGGAAAGGCCCUGCUUUUGUGGGGUGCUCGAGUGGCGAACGGGUGAGUAACACGUAAGUAACCUGCCCUUGACUUUGGGAUAACUUCAGGAAACUGGGGCUAAUACCGGAUAGGAGCUCCUGCUGCAGGGUGGGGGUUGGAAAGUUUCGGCGGUUGGGGAUGGACUCGCGGCUUAUCAGCUUGUUGGUGGGGUAGUGGCUUACCAAGGGUUUGACGGGUAGCCGGCCGGUGAGGGUGACCGGCCACAUUGGGACUGAGGUACGGCGCAGACUCCUACAGGGGGCAGCAGUGGGGAAUAUUGCACAAUGGGCGGAAGCCUGAUGCAGCAACGCCGCGUGCGGGAUGACGGCCUUCGGGUUGUAAACCGCUUUCGCCUGUGACGAAGCGUGAGUGACGGUAAUGGGUAAAGAAGCACCGGCUAACUACGUG